ensembl:lncRNA
CAAAAAUCAGUUGAAUAAUUACAGCAAAGUGCACCCAUGAAAGUGAGUUGAUCAAAUUAAAAUUAAUUAGUUGACAUUGUAUUCUUUGUUUAUCAUGAUCUUUUCCAGUCAUCUUGUGCAGGGUUAUACUCAUAUCUCUGAAACUGUUUUUUGUCUCUGCAAAAUAAAUGAGUGAUGCUACACUAGGUCCACCUCAAAAUGGAUGCUGAUGGAUAGAGCUCAAUGCAUUAACUUUGAUGGUGCAGAAACAUAUCAAGGGACUCUCUUUAUGUCUUUUGAAAUACAUUUUCAAUUUUCAGGUUAUUUUGCUACCCUCAAUGUACUUUCUUUUAACUUACACCAUUACCUAGAGUAUAAAGCCUUUUUAUACUACUCUAUUACUAGUAACUUUCAUGUGUUUGAAGAUGGUUAUAACAUUUUUCUCAUUGAACUCCUUGCUAAUCAAUUAAUAAGAAUAGAGUAAAAUAUUUAUUCAAAACCAUUCAGACUCCCAGUGAGCAAAGAUGCAGAAAAAAAGAAUAAUAGAAGAAAGCAUGGAGUAAGGCAUUAUUCAAAGGCGUGGAUAUUUCCAUAAGAAACAGCUAUUUUUAUGACUGAUUUCAUUUCUCCAGACACCCAGCCAUGUUGUCACUUGUAAGUGACGUACUUGGAAGAUUUUCAAUCAUAAAGAUCAGAACGCUGUUUUUGGAAAGACUUCGAUUUCUGUAACCAUUAUUGCACUGUGCUAAGAGACUAUGCUUAAUGUAUUGCAGUCAAGUUUGAUAGAAAUUAAAAGUAUUUCUUAAAAAUUACUGUUAAAUUAAUAUGCCUUCACCAGUGCUAUAAGUCAGUGAAUGCUUUCAUAUUUAUGUUUCCCAUUAAAGUCAGUGAAAAUUUCUCAGGUCUUUUAGCCCUUACCCUUAAACUAGAUUCUAUCACAGUUCAGUAUUCUUGAUUGUGUAUCCUAUACAACAUAUAUAAUGUGCCUCAUUAAUGCCAUAACAUACUACAAAAUAUCUGUAUAUUAUAACAUGCUAAAUGGACAUAAGCAACAAUUUAUAUCAAAUUCAUAUAAGGCAAAUUGCUAUCUGUGUAAGAACUAUAAAACUCAUUAUGCAUAAAAAAGACAGGCAUGCUCAACUGACACCCUGGAAAAAAUAAGGAUCAAAAUAACCUCUCACCAAAAGCUGCAACUCAUACAUUUAUCAUUUAAAAAAAUGCAUAUCAGUAUUAACUUGACAAGGUCCAAUUGUGAGAUAAAGUUAUCUUUCCACUUAAAAGUAGAAUAACAAGAAUGAAAGGCAAUAACAACUUGUAUUUAUUUACUAAAUUUGUGUUUAAAUUGCCUCAGUAUUAUCUGUCAAAAUGCAUAAAACAACAUGAUUUGAUAAGAUAAAUUCCUUGUACCUGAUGGAUCCAGCUUGAGCAAGCUAGUUGUAUUACUACAACAACUGUUCAUUUGAUGACAUAAUAUAACCUGACAAAAGUCAUCUUGAUAGAUGACAAAUAGGCUUUUUACUAAGCCGAGUAACUCUUUAAAGCUAGUAUGAAAGGCAUUUUAUCUUGGGGCUUCUCCUGAAUACUGAAGAGCAAGUAAUAAUAGGUACGGUAUUAGCGGCAUUCAUUUUGUUCACUGAUUUUAAGUUUACACAUUGAAAUCAAGAAGUAAUAAAUACUGGAAUUUUUGGCAUUUGGACAUUCUCUGGAAAAUUCAAGAAUUGUUAAGUACUUUCAGAAAAGAAAUAGAGAGAACAUGCAUCUCACUAGUUACUGGCUGUAUGUUACAUCUCUUGUUAAGAUAGCCUGCCUAUCUGGAGAGAUCAUUACUGAUUCAAAGACCAGAAAAAUAUAAAAAAGGAAGACAGGUUCCUGAAAAAGGUGUUGGAUCUGGAUCUAGUAAAACAUGAAAGAUUUGUUACAAGUAUUACAAGUAUUUCAAACGGAAAGCUGCAGAUCUGUGACAAAGAAUGCAGGCCACACCUAAAGAAGAAGAAACUCGUCUAUCCUAGGAUGCAUUCAUUCUGUUACAAACACGGAAAAUCAGUAAUUAAAAGAACAUAAGUUUGUAGUGAAAUGAGCACCGAAGAGAUUGAGAUGAUUCUUAGAAAUAAUAAGCACAAAAAUAUCAAACAGGAAGAAACAGGUUAUAUUGUCUCAGUGCUUUGAACUCCGUAAACCACUCCAAAAUACUGUGCCUGCUUCCUGUACCUGCAGAAGUACACUGAGGAAUAGGACAGGCUUCAAAGAACAACAACAAAAAUAAUGAAAAGAUUAUGUAAGAGAAAGUCUCUAUUUACACAGCUAUUAUAGGACUCAAAGCAACAGCUAAUUCUGGGGAAUCCUACAGCAUGCACUAUGCAUGGGUCAAGAUAGAAGUGCUGGAACAGUCUCUUACUACUGAUAUAUUUCAAAAGAUGUUUUUAUUUCUACACAGUAGAAACUUGUAUACUUGGGCAAAGUACCGGAAGUGCUCAACUAUUAAAAAAAUAUCCACAGCAUGGACUUGCAAGAAGUGAAGAAGUUGUUCACAUCCAGUUUCUACAAGGGAAACUUGUGCAGAAAAGGAUGGUGAACUUUACCAUUCAAAUGAAGAUACUUCUGCGGUUUGUUUAAGGACAUUCUACAAAAGAUUCCUCCUAUUGAUUGAUCUUUCUUUUUGCAAAUUCACUGGAGUUUUUCUAAUAGCAUUACUCAGAAGAGUUCUCAGCCAAACUGAAUUACAAAGAACAAAUGGUUCCAGGGCCUCUAAGGAAUCUCUGCUCAGCAAGCUGGUGUGGUUUUAUUCCUUGGAAAAGGUUUUGUUAUUCUAUCAGGAAUUUUACUGCCUAAAACAAAACUGAUUAAAAAAAAAGGGAAAGGAACAUCCUAUCAUCAUGAGCUUCAAAAGCAGGAAAAAAAAAUAUCUAUUUCUGAAGGUCUCAGGGAUUUUCUUUCAUACACAGACCUCAAGAAAAAUCAGCGUUCUUUCUUAUGCAUGUUGCAAAUCUACCUACUGAACCAUGAAGUUUAGGACUCUCCAGCUUCAUAUUUCUCCUGUCCUGCCUGACUUUAUUUUUAACACUUCUCCCACACUACUGGGAGAGUACUGCCCAGACUCCAACCAGCACCAAACCCGGAACUCAGUUCUGUUCUUCUUCAUCCAGUAUCCCACCCCACAGACUGUAUAAUGACCUGAAUCCCAGUAUAGUUACUACAGGAAUAGAAAACAUUUUUUCCUAAACAUCCUUUGUCUUUUGAUUUGGACCAUUCAUAAGCACAUUUUAAGACCUAUCUUGUAUUCAACACCUUUUCAUUAUGAAUAACUAACAGUUAAAGAAUUCUUAAGACUAAGUAUUUUGUACUGAUUGGUGCAAUGCAAUCUGAGAUUUAUAUAUAUAUUUGGACAAAAAGCAGCACAUCACGAAAAAUACAAAAUACUAAAAGUAAAUGAAAUAUUAAUUAGAAAUCAAGUAUGUUAUUGAUAAAAAUCUUUUUUUCACUAUGUAGUGAAUAUGAAUGUAUGAAUAUGUAUGCAGUUCUCCACAUGAAAUAUAAUGUACAAUAUGUUUGUUCUGUACGUUCUUAUUGGGAAGCAAUAAUGAAGAUCAUGGAGAUAAAAGAAAUUCAAGAAAGAGAGAUAAAAGCCUGAUAUCACUGAAGUUAGUAGCAAAACUCCUUUUUGAUUCAAAUAAGGUUAACUUUUACAUUUGUUAUACAAUAAUAUGUUUUUUUCUGGAACAAUUGUUUUGUGGCAUAUCCAUCAUGCAGAGAAGCUCCAUUUUUAUUUUACUUAUUUCUUUUUAUAGUGUAAUACUGUAUUCUCUGUACCUUGGUGUAACAAAAAACUUAAUGUUUGACAGACUGAGCACUUCCUUUUUAAGUCACUGGUCAUCACUGACUUUGCCGUUCAUCUUACCUAAGAAUUAACUUCCUCUCUUUUAAGUGAAAAUUUGAUACUGAUAUUUAAAAUCCCACAUAUUCCUGUUUGGACUACCACUAUUUUUAGCUACAAAAAGCUGUUUGAUAUUCAUUUUUUUUUUAAAUUCAAAUGGUAGAAUUCUCAACCUCAUCUUCAUUCAGGUCCCAGAAGUUACAGACCCCUUACAUUUGCAAAGUGUAUAUAAGAGAAAGUGAAUUACUGAUAUAGGAAAAAGCAGAAGGCUUAGAUGAAAAAAAUAACAUUCAAUGAGGUUCACAGACAGCUUGCCUCUUCUUUAUAUUAAGCCAUAUUUAUCUAUUCAUUUUCCCUGAGUUUUACUGUAUUUUGAUUAGUCCCUGAAGCACUGAAAAUAUAUGAAAGAUAUUGGUCCCAGCAUACAAAGUUAUACUCUAAUAAAAUAAUAAAAAAAAAAACCCAUAACAUACUGGGGACUGUUAAAAUUAUCAAAGAUAACAUUAAAUUAUUAAUACAAUAAUGAACCAUUAAUAAUGAAUGCAGG